CCAAACUACAUAGGCCAAAAAUUAACGUUGUCUUCUCCAUUUCCAAUUUCCUUUAGCCGCCCUUUCCAUUUCUCUCAGUGCCUUGAAGUUGUCUGGUGCAUUUUUAUCUAUUUUCAAGUGUAACCCGUUGUUUUCUCUCCAUUUCCAAGAGCUGUCCUUCUUUCUCCAUUUUCAAUCUUAAAUUAAGUUUUCAGUUUUUCCAUUUUCUUCUCUUUGUGCUCUCAGUAUCUUUACCCAACACUCACAUCUGGAUUUUUUGAAAUUUUGUGUUAUACGUUUGGUUUAGUUGAUAGAAAAAGGAGAGGUGGUAUUGGUGCUUUUUAUCUUACAAAUCAAUAUUGGUGUUAUUCCAAUGCCACCAAAGAUGAAGCCACCACCCCAAGACCUCUGAAUGGUUCUAUCACGUAGGCGAUCACUCAACCUAGCACGUAGUUUUCACCUACCAUGCAGUCUACACAAGCCACUUUGUCAACAGAGACAACAUUCCUAAUCGAGCGUAAGCGAUGUGGUUGUACUUGUGGCUUAGACACAUCCCAGAUAGUCAAGGCCACUCAUAGGAAGCUGGAAAUCAUGUAUGAAGAUAGCGAUGGAAGACCAACUGGUCCUAAUGCUAGUCUAUUCGUAUCUGAAAUAGGAUCUGGUGUGAGAAUAUUUGCACCUCUCCAAAAGAUCUUUUAAAAAGAUGUGUCUGAAUUUGAAAAAUCCCCUAUUUAUGACAAAGUGGAGGUAACAUUAUUGUUUUAACUUGUUUUGUUUCUUGUCCUAGUACAACUUGUAUGCAUCUUUUUCUUUCUUUAAACAUGUCAUUGUUGAAGAAAGGAAUAAAGUUAAUAACAAGUUAGUAUACCAGGUAUCAAAUUGACAGGUUCUCUAAAUGAUUAGAAGUCAAUAUCUUAAUUAAAAAUAUUGGAUGUUUGCAUAUGUUCAUUGACAUGUAUGCAUAUCUUGAAUGAUCUGAAUUUCUGGCACUUUGAUUUUGGUUGCUUAAAGUAGCGACUUCAUAUUCCAAUAUAUUUAUGUGAAUUUUGUGCUCGUCAUUGUGUUUUCACUCAUGGUAUGUUGCUAUAUAUAGGCUAUUUUUGAUGUACAAUAUGAUAAAUAUGCAACUCUCAAAGAGUUCAUGGAGAAAUCAAUGGCCACUUCCUUUAAGGAGUUUUGAUAUGAGCUGCACACACAUUACAAGAAGUUUCUAGACCAACCAAUGGCUCAUAAGAAAGCUAAUAAGCCUAAAGAAAUCCGACAUCAGGUUGAUUGGGAUUAUUUGUGUGACUAUUGGGAAAGUGAGCGGUUUCAGGUGCAUUUAUAUAUAGUAUAACUUCCAUUUAUGUUCAAUGGUUAACUUACUUAGUUCAUUGACUUUCUUUGUUCUGUUAAUUGGACAUUACAAAAAAAGACCAAGGUAGCAAUUGACAAUAGAUCCUGACAAGAAUUUACCCAUUUUUCUUGUUCUACAUCAUUUAUUCAAUGUCAGGCUAUGGGGGAUAAUGAAACAGGACGACCAGACAAAAUUCAACUAUGGAAGAACACACAUUACAAGGAUACAAAAGGCUAGAUCCAUCCCGUGGUUGAGGAGAAACAUAAAGAGAUGGUAGACAUACAAACAACACAACAGGCACAUAUUGUGGGAGAGGAGAGUGAGAUCCAAGGAGCAUAGCUCACUGCUAAUGACAUUUCGACUCAGGUCCUUAGAGCUACUUCUUGCUAAUAUACGGGUUUGGGCAGGGGUCCAAAGAUUCAACGUGCUACAUCUUGUGUAGACACGACUCAAUGAGAGAAUGCCAAGGUUCGCCAAGUCACGCAUAAUUUGCAGAGCCAAAAUGAGGGUAAUCUCACUUUGUUAAAAGAGAUUAUGCCAGUUGCCAUCGCUAGAAUAGGUAGCCCUAGAGUUCUUACUAAUCCUCAUUCGUCUUCAUCACCAUCAUAACCUGAUCACGAGUCAUGUGAUGAUCACUAGUUUAAAGCUCUUCUAUUCCAUUUACAUAGUUUUAUAUUUUGAUGGUUAAUACUCCAUUAUAACAUAUGCUAUUAUUUUUGGAUUAAGCUAGCUUUCUCUUAUAUAUGAAUUUGACUAGGCUCUUUAUUUUGAAAUCCAUUAUAGUUUGGGCAUGUAACGUAGUUACUUAUUCUGAAAUUGGAAUUGACUGGUAAAGAUAUGAUAUAGUAUUUUGCCUUGCAAUUGUUUUGCUACA